rnacentral:rRNA from 1 species
GUCGAGGGGCAGCGGGGUAGUAAGCUUGCUUACUACUGCCGGCGACCGGCGCACGGGUGAGUAACACGUAUGCAACCUGGCCGUCACAGAGGGAUAACCGGGAGAAAUCCCGCCUAAUACCGCAUAAUACCGGGGAAGGACAUCCUUUUCCGGUCAAAGGAGCGAUCCGGUGACGGAUGGGCAUGCGCCGCAUUAGUUAGUUGGCGGUGUAACGGACCACCAAGACGACGAUGCGUAGGGGUUCUGAGAGGAAGGUCCCCCACACUGGUACUGAGACACGGACCAGACUCCUACGGGAGGCAGCAGUGAGGAAUAUUGGUCAAUGGGCGAGAGCCUGAACCAGCCAAGUCGCGUGAGGGAAGACGGUCCUAUGGAUUGUAAACCUCUUUUGCCGGGGAGCAAAAAGCGGUACGUGUACCGCAUCGAGAGUACCCGGAGAAAAAGCAUCGGCUAACUCCGUGCCAGCAGCCGCGGUAAUACGGAGGAUGCGAGCGUUAUCCGGAUUUAUUGGGUUUAAAGGGUGCGCAGGCGGCGAGUUAAGUCAGCGGUAAAAUUUCGGGGCUCAACCCCGACGAGCCGUUGAAACUGGCUUGCUAGAGUGGGCGAGAAGUAUGCGGAAUGCGUGGUGUAGCGGUGAAAUGCAUAGAUAUCAUGCAGAACUCCGAUUGCGAAGGCAGCAUACCGGCGCCCAACUGACGCUCAGGCACGAAAGCGUGG